CCUACGGGCGGCAGCAGUGGGGAAUAUUGGACAAUGGGGGCAACCCUGAUCCAGCCAUGCCGCGUGUGUGAAGAAGGCCCUCGGGUUGUAAAGCACUUUCAGUGAGGAAGAACGCCUGGUGGUUAAUACCCAUCAGGAAAGACAUCACUCACAGAAGAAGCACCGGCUAACUCCGUGCCAGCAGCCGCGGUAAUACGGAGGGUGCGAGCGUUAAUCGGAAUUACUGGGCGUAAAGCGCGCGUAGGUGGCUUGAUAAGCCGGUUGUGAAAGCCCCGGGCUCAACCUGGGAACGGCAUCCGGAACUGUCAAGCUAGAGUGCAGGAGAGGAAGGUAGAAUUCCCGGUGUAGCGGUGAAAUGCGUAGAGAUCGGGAGGAAUACCAGUGGCGAAGGCGGCCUUCUGGACUGACUCUGACACUGAGGUGCGAAAGCGUGGGUAGCAAACAGGAUUAGAUACCCGAGUAGUC
rnacentral:rRNA from 1 species